UACAGAGGAUGCAAACGUUGCUCGGAAUUACUGGGCGUAAAGCGCGCGUAGGCGGCCUCGCGAGUCGGGUGUGAAAGCCCGGGGCUCAACCCCGGAAGGGCAUCCGAGACUACGAGGCUGGAGGCCUGAAGAGGAGAGCGGAAUUCCCGGUGUAGAGGUGAAAUUCGUAGAUAUCGGGAGGAACACCAGUGGCGAAGGCGGCUCUCUGGACAGGUACUGACGCUGAGACGCGAAAGCGUGGGUAGCAAACAGG
rnacentral:rRNA from 1 species